rnacentral:tmRNA from 1 species
GGGGGCGACAAGGUUUCGACGGGGGCACAGACGUCCCACGGUCGCGUGUCGAGUGGGCUCACACACUCGUAAAUACAAAUGAGCAAAACCACAAAAGCCAACGACAACGUUGAGCUUGCGCUGGCCGCCUAAAAAACGGUUCACGCACGGUUGCUUCACCUUCUGCCAGUGAGGUGAAGGUCCAACCGCCAUAAUGCUGGCUGGUUCUCCAAGCGCCUGAUCGCGGAGAACGAGAUCGAGUCAGGACCGGUUCAUUCAGCUUCCUGUUCGGGAGAAGCGAGUGGACUAGAGCUGUAAAAACUCCGGACUACACACGUAGUGACUUGGGGCAGAAGGCUUUCGGACCCGGGUUCGAUUCCCGGCGCCUCCAUUU